rnacentral:lncRNA from 1 species
AUGGUCCCUUUACCACGGGAGCAGCUGCAGGCGACUGCGAGAUGCUUAAAUUCCUACAACGAAAGGCUGCAGUUCAGCUACGGCUCGACAGCUGGGGAAACGCAGGUCGCAGAGACGCCUCGACAGUCUGCUGCCGCCCGACUGAGCCACAGGACGCGUCUCCAUCGCCAGAGGGACAGACAACCGCCCAGACAUGGACUCCGAUUUGGCCGCAGCGGCCGAAUGUCACGACAAACCGGCGGGAGCCGUGGAGCCCAAGAUCGAGGGCAAGUCCAGCCAGGAGGUCAACGCCUUCUGGAGCAAAGACAAACACCAGGAGAAGGACAAGAAGGACCACCACAAACACGGCGAGAAAAAGCACAAGGAGGGCGAGAAAAAGCACCACAAACACGGCGAGGGGGGCGAUUCGGACAGCUCCUCUUCCUCCAGCGGCGGGGACGACGGGAAGGGGAAAGGCAAGAAGGAGAAGAAGCACAAGGACAAGAAGCACUGACGGCCCUCUGGCCAGCCCGCAGCGUCUCUCCGACCUGCAUCCUUACAGUGAUGGCCGCUUCCGAAAGCUGCAUGAAUAAAACUACGUGACUUUACACCUUCUUCUUGGUCCGUUUCAUUUCAUUUCUGCCCACGGGCCUGUUUGCUCAGGAAUUCGCCCUGACAGGUGGCGGCUGUGACGGGCUCUGGAAAGUGGGGGCGGUUUUUCCGUAGCGUCUACUCUGGGGGGCGGGAAUUAAAUACCACCACAAACACAGGAAGAAAGCAUAAAACAAACUUUUAUUUUCUUUAAAGACCGAUUAAAAGGUGCAAUAUAAAACAAGGACAAGGACACAAAAAGACAGAUUUUCACUCUUUACCAGCGUUCCUCAAGGCACAGACUGGUAUGAAUAUAAAAACAGCAAAAUAUUUACAUCACAGCUUCACAAUCUCCCAUAACCACCGCAGUCUAUCUGCUUCGCUCCCUUUCUUUGGUUUCGUAAUAAAUACUGCUCCCCACCCCACAUUCAAACGCAAAACAAUAAAAUAACAAUGCUGUACAUAUCAAUAUCACACACGCUUGUGACCUUAAGAACCCGGGAGGAAAGUGCACGGCGCAAUUCACAUGAAAACUGUCCGGUGUCAACGCUAACCGCAUAUAUAGAUAUAAGACUGUAUAAUGAAUAAAAAUGAUGUAUCGUCGUUCCUUAGAAGCAGCAGGUACCGAAGAAACAAAAGAAAGGCGCUGCAGGUGAAGGUGCUGGCGCAGACAGCCAGCGUGGAACUCGAAGUCCACUCCCAGGGCAGCCGCCAUCACGAGCGAGAGACGGCACCCGCGGCGGUCUCAUCAGGACGGAACGUGCUCUGGCCACACGCCGCGGGAUUUUUAAAAAGUUACCGCAAUAUCUAAAACGCAAAGCGCCGACAAAAAUAACUCAUUGACAAGCAGGCUCUGCAGGCAAAAGCCCAGGGACACUGCUGGAGGACAGGGGUACGAGAAGGCCGCCCUGGGGCGGAUGACUGGUUUAGAGCCGCGGACGGCCCUCAGCUGCAGUCCAGCUUCCUGGCGGUCAUCCUCAGCAGCUGCUCGGAGUAGCGCUCCAGCAGGGCCUGCGUGCGCGCGUCCUGCAGCUGACGGGAGGGCGAGGGCGUGGCCUGGGCGGGGCCGCGCACGGCCUCCAGCUCCGUCUGCACCGCCGAGAAGGCGUCGGCCAGGACGGACUUCAUCUGCUGCUCCGCGCCGCCCGCCGCCAGCUGGGGAGGGGAGAGGGAGGGCUGCUGAGCGCUGUAGGCCAACGCCCUUGAUGUGCUUGUGUGAUCAACGUAUGGAGGGGCAGGACUGAGCCCGCGCGCUCACCUGGCAGUACAGAGACACGGCUUUCUUCAGCGCCUGCUGCAGCUCCUUCACCACGCGCUGGCAGGCCUGCAGGCUGACGGGCUCCUGGCACGCACCUGGACACAGACAGAGUCAGAGCGGCGCCAGCGGGAGGCGCAGGGGGCUGUCCGGGCACCGCCGUGGGGCGACUGGCUUACCGGUGUCGGUGUCGGGGGCCCGGCUGCCCUCGGUGGGCGUCUCCGUCUCGGGCUCGGUCCGCAGCGGCUCAGGUACCGGCGUGGGAGCCCUCGACCCGCCAGCGUGCGGGUCAGCGUGGCUCUGGAGCCUGGCGACGGGCCCGAGACUCGCCCAGGAGCGGGCCGGGCUGCAGGCCUGCGACUGCAGGCUCUCCUCCACGCUGUCCAGGUAGCUCUUCCCUUCCUUGCCCAGCGA